UUCCGCAAACACCGGCCGACUGAGAUGUGGUUGUUGUUCCGGUCACGUUCUUUAACGGGUUUCCAACGAUUUUCAUCAUUAUUAUAUCCUGGAAACUAUAAAAUGUCAUCUUCUGCUGACACAGAGAGACGCACUGGUGAUAAUUCACAGAGUAACAAUGAAGACGACAAAGUCAGAAAAGAUGAGAGCGAUGAGUUCGAAUAUGCAGACAGCAGUUUGAGGGGAGCGUGUUUUAAAGCAGGUCGGAUUCACCAGCACCGCCUUCAUUGGACCGGCAGGUCCUCCACAUACAGAGAAGACGGACAUCGAAGACAAACUGAGUGAGUUUUACAAAGAACUUGAGCACAUCGACUCACUUCACGGUGCUGAUGGUAACCAAGAGAAAAAAGAUGCAGCCUUACCUCAGACAUCCAUAUCACCCAAAACAUUAGAUACGCCGAAAGCCAGCUCAGGACAAACUCAUCACAUCAGCAUAUCCUCAGAUGGGAACACUGAGCAGGGAAGCAGGCAUCAGAAACUCCCAUCCUGGCCGCACUGGUAUCAAAAUGAGCCAUACAGGAAACAGAGGACCAGCAGC